AUAUUAAUAAGGGGAGGAAAAGAAACUAACAAGGAUUCCCUUAGUAACGGCGAGUGAAGCGGGAAGAGCUCAAUUUGAAAAUCGAUUACCUAGACGGGUCAUCGAGUUGUAGCCUAGAGACGUACUAUCAGCUGAAACCUGGGCAUAAGUUCUUUGGAAUGAGGCGCUAUAAAGGGUGAGAGCCCCGUAUAUGGCCCAAAGCUUUCAGCGUACGAUGUAUGUUCAUCGAGUCGAGUUGUUUGGGGAUUGCAGCUCUAAAUGGGAGGUAAAUUUCUUCUAAAGCUAAAUACCGGCCAGAGACCGAUAGCGCACAAGUA
rnacentral:rRNA from 1 species